UACGUAGGGCGCAAGCGUUGUCCGGAAUCAUUGGGCGUAAAGCGCGUGUAGGCGGUUCGGUAAGUCUGCUGUGAAAGUCCAGGGCUCAACCCUGGGAUGCCGGUGGAUACUGUCGGACUAGAGUACGGAAGAGGCGAGUGGAAUUCCCGGUGUAGCGGUGAAAUGCGCAGAUAUCGGGAGGAACACCAAUUGCGAAGGCAGCUCGCUGGGACGUCACUGACGCUGAGACGCGAAAGCGUGGGGAGCAAACAGG
rnacentral:rRNA from 1 species